rnacentral:rRNA from 1 species
AACGAACGCUGGCGGCAUGCCUAACACAUGCAAGUCGAACGAGACAUUCGGGUCUAGUGGCGCAAGGGUGCGUAACGCGUGGGAACCUGCCCUUAGGUUCGGAAUAACUCCCCGAAAGGGGUGCUAAUACCGGAUAAUGUCUUCGGACCAAAGAUUUAUCGCCUUUGGAUGGGCCCGCGUUGGAUUAGCUAGUUGGUAGGGUAAAAGCCUACCAAGGCGACGAUCCAUAGCUGGUCUGAGAGGAUGAUCAGCCACACUGGGACUGAGACACGGCCCAGACUCCUACGGGAGGCAGCAGUGGGGAAUAUUGGACAAUGGGCGAAAGCCUGAUCCAGCAAUGCCGCGUGAGUGAUGAAGGCCUUAGGGUUGUAAAGCUCUUUUACCCGGGAUGAUAAUGACAGUACCGGGAGAAUAAGCUCCGGCUAACUCCGUG